rnacentral:rRNA from 1 species
ACGGGGGGUGCAAGCGUUGUUCGGAAUCAUUGGGCGUAAAGCGCGCGCAGGCGGCUUGGUAAGUCAGAUGUGAAAUCCCUGGGCUUAACCCAGGAAGUGCAUUUGAUACUGCCUCGCUAGAGUACGGGAGAGGAAAGUGGAAUUCCUGGUGUAGAGGUGAAAGUCGUAGAGAUCAGGAGGAACAGCGAUGGCGAAGGCGACAUUCUGGCCCGAUACGGACGCUCAGGCGCGUAAGCGUGGUGAGCAGACAG